rnacentral:rRNA from 1 species
GACAGAGGUGCCGAGCGUUAGGCGGAAUCACUGGGCUUAAAGCGUGUGUAGGCGGGUCCGUAAGUACCUUGUGAAAUCCCACGGCUCAACCGUGGAACUGCUCGGUAUACUGCGGCCUUGAGCCAGCUAGGGGCAACCGGACAAACGGUGGAGCGGUGAAAUGCGUAGAUAUCGUUUGGAACGCCGAUGGUGAAAACAGGUUGCUGGGGCUGUGCUGACGCUGAGACACGAAAAGCCAGGGGAGCGGAACGGG